rnacentral:rRNA from 1 species
UACGAAGGGGGCUAGCGUUGUUCGGAAUCACUGGGCGUAAAGGGCGCGUAGGCGGCUUUAUAAGUCGGGGGUGAAAGCCUGUGGCUCAACCACAGAAUUGCCUUCGAUACUGUAUGGCUUGAGACCGGAAGAGGUAAGUGGAACUGCGAGUGUAGAGGUGAAAUUCGUAGAUAUUCGCAAGAACACCAGUGGCGAAGGCGGCUUACUGGUCCGGUUCUGACGCUGAGGCGCGAAAAGCGUGGGGAGCAAACAGG